UGUUUGCCUAAAUUCCUAUUUAGAUUUAUUAGUUGCACCAGUAUUGUUGGAUGUAGGUUUAUAGUUAUCGGAUGUCCCUGCAGGCUGAACACCUUGGCAAACUGGAGGAUAGUUUUCAAGAACCACAAAGCCUAGAAUUUGUUUCUAAUUGUUCUAAAUUAUGUUUUAUUUUAUAUGUACUUGAAGUUUAUGGCUAGAUGGGAGCAGAAAAAGUCUGUCGGUGGAGGAAAAAAAAAGGAAGUGAAGGAGACUGGUUUGGGUCUUUCUUUUACUAAGGAUGAAAAUUUCAAGGAAUGAUACUGAGGUAUAUUUUGUUGCAAUGGUACAAUUGCUUGUGAUUGUUAUACUACUUUAUCGAGAUCUUAGUAUCUUAUGAUUAUAUCAUACAUUUUGGCUUUUGUAAGUUACUGUCAAUGGUGAAAUGAUUGAAUACAAUGACAUUUUUAGCUAUUA